rnacentral:misc_RNA from 1 species
ACUCGUCGCUCUAAUCUUUCUGGCUCCAAGUUUUGUCACGAUCUUGGUCUACUUCUGGCCUCUCCUUCUCUCCACUGCUCUAUUUCUUGUUGCUGUUGUCUUCUUCGGCAAGACGUCUUCACCGGGGACCGAAUCUUCCAGUGACAAAGCAGGCUAUGUUGCUGGGCCACCUGAACAAGUGGUAGAAAAUUUCAAGCAAGAGUAGUCCUUGUAGUCUUUCUAACCUAGUGACCUCUGUUUUUCCUUGAUUUUCCUUUUCUUGGAAACUCUUCUUCCCUUUUCCUGGAAACUCUGGUGAUGUGAACUGUGAGUGAUGGGAAGAGUAGUGUGUUUUAUUAGUUAUCGGAUUAUGAAACUGAUCUCUAUCUCCUC